CCUACGGGAGGCAGCAGUGGGGAAUAUUGGACAAUGUGGGGAACCCUGAUCCAGCGACGCCGCGUGAGUGAAGAAGUAUUUCGGUAUGUAACGCUCUAUCAGCAGGGAAGAAAGAAAUGACGGUACCUGACUAAGAAGCCCCGGCUAAAUACGUGCCAGCAGCCGCGGUAAUACGUAGGGGGCAAGCGUUAUCCGGAUUUACUGGGUGUAAAGGGAGCGUAGACGGCGAUGCAAGUCUGAAGUGAAAGGCGGGGGGCCAACCUCCAUACUGCUUUGGAAACUGUAUGGCUGGAGUGCAGGAGAGGUAAGUGGAAUUCCUAGUGUAGCGGUGAAAUGCGUAGAUAUUAGGAGGAACACCAGUGGCGAAGGCGGCUUACUGGACUGUAACUGACGUUGAGGCUCGAAAGCGUGGGGAGCAAACAGGAUUAGAUACCCCAGUAGUC
rnacentral:rRNA from 1 species